rnacentral:lncRNA from 1 species
UAUAGCUUUUCACAUGGAAACUAAGCGAAACAUGAUGAGACAUUCUAGGGCAAAAGAAAAGACAACCAUCCCCCGGUUCCCCAGAUAUAAGAUGGUGCCGAUGGUGGAAACAGCGCUUGGCUUGGGUCUGCCAAUUUUCCCUGGUGACCAUGGGAAAUCAAAGGACAAAAAGGCCACAAGCAACCGACAUCACAGAUACAGGCAGAAGCAGGGGCCCCGCGAGCCCCUCAGGACACGCAUGGGAAGAGGCUGGCCCACCCUGACCGUGCUGCCCACUCCCGAAGCCCUCCUCCAGCUCUUCCUGCUCCUGCUCCUGCAGACUCAGACUGGCAAACGCAGAGUGCAGGGCUCUGGGUGCCCACAGGACACUUCCUGCCAGGGGCUGCGUCGCACAGCUGCAGGUCACCGGGGACAGGAGGUCACAAGAGGGAGGCCGCGCGGGGUCCAGACAGCAUGGCCGGGAAGCAGUCCAUGUGCACCCGUGUCCCCUGCCCAGAUGGCUGCGUAGUAACGUAGUAACUGUGGCAUCUAGGAAUGGGGCCCAGGGCCUGUGCUUCCAGCCAGGGAAAGUCCCUUCCUCACACAGUAACUGGGACUUGGACAGGGAGUUGGAAAGUUGGAGGCUCAGGUCACAAACUAGAUGGGCACAUGCAGAUCCCCAGCUCGGAGCUGGCAGCGAGGAGUUGCUGCCCCGAGCUGGGGUCACGCGCACUGUGGAGAGAUGGGUGAAAGAGAAAGCCCCUUGUUAAGAAAAGGACGGGCACUGGCCGGUGGGUCACAUCCAAGGCCACCACUGCUGGGCCAAUCAGAAGAGAUCUACGGAAGACCCAGCAAGAGACCACCGAGACACAGAAGAGGCACACUCUGUAAUACCAGCACCACGGGAGGCUGAGGCAGGAGGGUUGCAUGUUGGAUUUCCAGCUCUUAGCUACUAGGAAAAAAAUCAGAAAACAGUAGAGAAUGACAGAAUCCAGGUGAAGCUCCAAAGUGGAUCUGAGCUAUUGAACAAGAUCUCUUGUGUAAUGUAUAUCAUGGCGCAGGUCUAAAAUUUGAGGUCAUAUAAACAGUUUCUCUUCAGCCAGUAGACAGCUUCCUCCUCCACACAAAUCAGUAUAAAGAAGGACUUAACCGGAAGUCUCAGCUACUCUGGAGGAUAAGGCAGGAGGAUCAUUUGAGUCCAGGAGUUCCAGGGCAGCCUGAGUAACAUAACUGAACCCUCUCCCAAAAGAUAAAAAUAAAAAAAGAUCCUUUCACAGAGAA